GCCUAAGUGGCUUAGUCAGUAAAGCCUGUGACUCUUAAUCUCACAGUUGUGAGUUCAAGCCCCACACUGGGCA
rnacentral:tRNA from 1 species